AAUACUAUUGCGUUAAGUUUAAAAAUCACAAUUUGUUCCUGCCAUUGAUUAAACUUAAUUGAUCGUAGAUGUAUCUCUGACAUUGAUUUUAUUUUCCCUGAUUUUAUAAGUUUUAUUUAAUUGAUCUCUUUAAGGUUUUCUGAUACUUGAUUAUCUACUUAUAUUCCUGGUAGAGUCCAAUAUACUUCUCAUUUUCAUUCGUUGUAAUCAGCAUAAAAGGUGACAGUUCCCAUGACUUUAAAGAUUUAUCUAGGCAUGCCUUGUGUUACAAAUCUAUAAUGUUGCUUCCAAGUGAAAUUCAAAUGUAAGAAAGACAAGUUUACGGAUGCCGGAUCAUUGACCUCCGGGAUUGGCUACCAUUUGACGACAAAAUGGAAGAUUCUAGAAGCUCCAAGAAUUUUGGCAUAAGGACCAAUAGGAGGCGAAUAUUAGCUAUCCUUCGAGAAGUUUCUAUGCUCAGUGUCGGAAACUGAAAGGCCAACAGGAUCAUUUGAAGUCAGUCGUAUAGUUAAGCAGAGUUUACAUUAAGCUAGCUACAAUCCAACCAUUAAGAUCAUGCAUAUGCAGAAAUUGUACA